rnacentral:misc_RNA from 1 species
GAGUGAGUUAAUGGCAAGUUCAACGACAAAGGACCACUCUCACAUUGAAAUUGACGGUAUAAAUGAGGAAUCUCAACAGAUGACUGAGAAGGAUAUUGUAGAGAAAGAUAUGGCGCCUUUGCCUGGGAGUUCAAUUCACAGGUCAUCUUCUCGUCCACAGCUAGAUGUAAGUGGUGCUGCAAUUCAGGGGAAUUUUGAGGAGAAGGAUCCUGCAAUUCUGUUGCCUAAUCAGACUGAUGAUAUUUCACACCUUGCUUUGGAUAUUGGUGGCUCUCUGAUCAAGCUGAUAUACUUUUCAAGACACGCGGACCGACAAGUGGAUGAUGGGAGAAAGAGGAAAGUUAAGGAGAGAUUGGGUGUUACUAAUGGCAGCAGAAGAAGCUAUCCUAUCCUUGGAGGGAGGCUUCAUUUUGUGAAGUUUGAGACGUCGAAAAUCAAUGAGUGCUUAGAUUUUAUACAUUCCAAGCAACUUCACUGCGGUGGGAUGGAUCCACGAUGUUGGCCUUCCGAUGCCCCACCUAGUGAAAAUGCAGUAAUUAAGGCUACAGGCGGUGGGGCAUAUAAGUUUGCUGAUCUUUUUAAGGAAAGGCUGGGAGUCAGUAUAGAGAAAGAAGAUGAAAUGAAUUGUCUUGUUUCUGGUGCAAAUUUCUUACUCAAGGCAAUCCGUCAUGAAGCUUUUACGCAUAUGGAGGGUCACAAGGAGUUUGUGCAGAUAGACCAGAAUGAUUUAUUUCCAUAUUUGCUUGUGAAUAUUGGUUCUGGUGUUAGUAUGAUCAAGGUU